GACGUAGGGCGCGAGCGUUGUCCGGAUUUAUUGGACGUAAAGAGCUCGUAGGCGGUUUGUCGCGUCGUUCGUGAAAACUCACAGCUUAACUGUGAGCUUGCGGUCGAUACGGGCAGGCUAGAGUUCGGUAGGGGAGACUGGAAUUCCUGGUGUAGCGGUGAAAUGCGCAGAUAUCAGGAGGAACACCGGUGGCGAAGGCGGGUCUCUGGGCCGAUACUGACGCUGAGGAGCGAAAGCGUGGGGAGCGAACAGG
rnacentral:rRNA from 1 species